rnacentral:rRNA from 1 species
UACGUAGGGUGCAAGCGUUGUCCGGAAUUACUGGGCGUAAAGAGCUCGUAGGCGGUCUGUCGCGUCGAAUGUGAAAGCCCAGGCUCAACCCUGGGUCUGCAUUCGAUACGGGCAGACUAGAGUAUGGCAGGGGAGACUGGAAUUCCUGGUGUAGCGGUGAAAUGCGCAGAUAUCAGGAGGAACACCGGUGGCGAAGGCGGGUCUCUGGGCCAAAACUGACGCUGAGGAGCGAAAGCGUGGGGAGCGAACAGG